GAAAUUGAAAAACAAAUGAAAGAAGGAAGUUGGAAAUAAGACAAUAAGAAAAUAAGAAAAUAGGAAAAUUAACAUUAUUGAUUUUUAUUGUUUGUUUUGCGAAUUUUUUUUUUUUUGUUAAAACUUAUUUUAUAUUUAAUUUC
rnacentral:ribozyme from 1 species